rnacentral:misc_RNA from 1 species
GGAAAAGAAUAAUCAAUUGAAAUCUCAAACAUACAAAUAUGAAGAUAAUUACACUAGAAAUAACACAACUUCUUCCACAACUCUUGUAUCAAGACUACAAACAAAUUACAGACAUAACUAAUAUCUGCAGAGAACAAACUAUUUUUCCAGAGUCCUGAUGAACCAUGCUCCAUGUACAGUAUCUCACUAUAUGGGUAGGACGAGUAUCGUAAAAGCCAACUCAUCUGAUAACCUGAUCCCAGCGCUUGAUUUCAUCAUCCGAUGCACGCUGUUGUAUCAGCGAAUAGGGUGGUACUGCGUGAUCCCUCGCUUUGGAGGCAAC